ACAGAAUUAUAACCCGCAUACCAAAAUGGAGCAGGAUGAAUUGCAAAAAGUAUACCCACAAUAAGGUAAUCGAUUACCAACAAAUGAGUGACCCUAAGUUGUCAAAAAUUUCACCAACAAACAGGGAAAAAGAAAGGACAAACAUUUAAACAGAGAAGAUCAGAAUUUCCUAGACCAGCAAUGAAGUGCAAUAAGCAGGAAAUUUGA
rnacentral:lncRNA from 1 species